rnacentral:rRNA from 1 species
CCCUUGAAGACGACGAGGUAGAUAGGGCAGAGGUGGAAGUGCAGUAAUGCAUGGAGCUGACUGUUACUAAUCGGGUGAGGGCUUGACCAAG